UGCACACACUUGAUCUGGACUGCGCAUGUCUGUUGCCCGAAAUAUCCAACUUGCUGGAUACAUGUUUUGUCGCGGGACACACCUCAUAAGACAACCUAGCACAAUUUCCAAGGAUACAAUAGCAACACAAUGGCAAGCAAAGCUUGUCUCGAGAUUGUUCCCAGGUGUGAAUGCAUGGCAAAAUCAACUCGUUUGGUACCAGCCUAAGAUCAGAUCUCUCUUAAAAAUUCUGAUAUUUAUGCUCUCGUUUAAUGUCAUUUUUUAUCAUAGAAACCUAUGUAGUUAAUUUGCAAUAAACUAUCAUUAAAUUGUCAACAAUAUUUUGAUUAACCUCAUAUACAUCAAAAUUUAACCAU
rnacentral:lncRNA from 1 species